rnacentral:piRNA from 1 species
UGCUUUAUAAACCCUGUCCU